GAGUUUCCCUGGCAACCCACUGUAGAGUUUGGUCAGCAGAAACAGAGCCUGUGGAACAGCCUGGGGGAGUGAGGCUGGUGUUCGCCUUGAGAUCCAAAACAGGAGAUGGGUGAAUGUCCUUCAAUGGGGCAGGUGUGAGUAUUUUUGGCUGGUCCAGAUUCUGGUAAAACAGCUGACAGAGAGUCCUUCCCCGGGUCACCUUCUAAGAGCCAAGAUGUUGACUGAAGAGGUGGGCUGCAGUACAGAGACUCUUCUCCUGGCAACUGCCUGAACACUUGAGCUGCCAGCCCAAGUCCCACCAGAGCGCUGCAUGGCAGGUUUGGGGUUUUGCUCACACAGAUAGAAGAGGUUACAGAUGCUCAGGAAAGACAGAUCCAGAUGGAGAAAAGAAACCACAAGAUCUCUUCAUCCAAAUGGACACACACACAGUAAUAUUAGCCAUAAUGCUUCCCCCAGGGCUAGCGCCAGUGGCUACCCUGACUACAUCUGAAAGAAAAUAUUUUACUAGCUCUGAUGUAUCUGGGAACACCAGGUUUAUACAUAAAAGCUUAUAAUUUCUCUAACAAGUUGUACUGGGAAUAUGUCCAAAUAACAGUUAGGCAUAAUAUAUGAUAAAUACAUUAACUUGAAAAAAGAACACAAAAUAAAAUCCCCCAAAACAUGGAGCCUUACAACACACUGAAAGACCUAAAUCUACUAAGUGACAUGAGGGGCACACAAUCACUGUACCCAGAACUGGCUUGAUGGGCAACCCUGAAGCAACAAUAUAAGGCCUUGUAGCUCAUCAUGUCUUACUCUUCCUAGGUCUAAUGGUCGGGCCCUGCUGACCUAACUAAUGGGAAAACUGUUGAAAAAACCAAACAGCAUGCGUUAAAUCAAUGUACCUAAUGGGCCAAGUCAAUCCCUUUAUACAAUAUAUUAAUGCUUUAACUCUUCCCUAACAUCAGCGGGGAAUGAACUAUCCAAAGUGACUUUGGUUUCUGAGUUUUAUCCAGCUGCUCCCCACCCAGAAAUUGUUCUAAACACCAGAACUGAAACUGUUGAGCCUUCUGUCCCUCCUGCCUCUCUGUGAUGGAACUGUGCAUUAGGCUUUAUAAACCCAAUCAUGCUCACUUUGGUAUGUUUCUGGCAAGAGUCUUCUCUCAAAUUCUAAAACUCUCAGUCUCACCAGCACUGAGUUCUCUUUCCCCGAGUCUUACACCACAAUGGAGAAUCAACAAAAAGAAAAAUCUUGGAAGUCACUGUCAACAGGAGCACAGCUAGUGAGUGGCAGUUGGGAAAUGCAAAGCUUAAGAGAGUUAAACCGUCAGAAACGUCUGAGAGAUGAGCUUUGACAACAAAGAUAAAGGAGAGACCUAAAGAAUGAUUCCCACAGUGUCAUGUUCCAGGGUAAUGGGAAAAGCCUGCCUUUCUGUGGGCUAUUUGGACCUCAACUCUGCCCCUAAACCCCUCAUUCCUACACACCUGGCUGCACGUUGGCUGCUGCUUGUCUCUUCACAUCUGAAGAUUCUUGUCUUUGCUCCAAAAAUGUCACCAGGUGUGGCUUUGACACAACAAGACCUGUUUGCAGAAAAAGAAGGAACAAGAUUGUUUGUGUGUUCUUUUACUUGGAAUUGACAUGUGCCUUCCAGUACAUGGCUUAUAAGGAAAGAGAUGAUGAAAUAAAUGAUU